AUUUUUCCAGUAUCCAGACAUUCAGAUAACCAGAACUUGAAGGGGAGGAAGCUAUGGUCUGCAUUUUUUCUUCAGGAAACAAGUAAGUCAGAAGUGCUGAAAACAGGACUUUAAGCAGAAAAAGCAACAUAUGAGACCAAUGGACUAUGCAUUCAUGCCUUCUUCAAACUCACUUUCUGCGAAACCAGGCUCCUUCCCCGUGCUGGCAGAAGUUUCAACAGACCUCUCUCCUAUAGGUCACGCUGACAUCUUACAUUCCAUGAAGAGGAUGGUGAGAUCGAAGAGCCAGCCAGGUGUGGCAGAGGGAAGAUUUCUCCGACUAAGCUAGGAGAACUGACUCUCCAAAGAGAAUCUAUAAGAAUACCAGGCUGGGAUGCCAAAACUACAUGCUGAUACAAAGCAUUUGCAAAGGAUGAAGAAAAGCAGAUCACUCUAAGAAUGACAGGUUUCCCGGGUGCUGUGAAGCAUACCUAAACAGAUAGCUGCAAAGAAGGAUCUUUUCUCUAUUUCAAGACAUGAACACUGCCCCAUCCCCACUACUGGUAUUUUGUACCCUAAACAAAGUUGGGUAUUUGCCUGAUAUAACCUGGAAAAGGUGGUGCAUUAUACUUUACAUAGUGAUUUAUAGUUUACAGGCUGCUUUUACGAUGGUCUCAUUUAGUUUUCCAAAAUCAAGCUGUGAUAUAGUGCCAUUAUUCCCC
rnacentral:antisense_RNA from 1 species